rnacentral:rRNA from 1 species
CGCGUCUGAUUAGUUAGUUGGUGAGGUAACGGCUCACCAAGGCAGCGAUCAGUAGCCGGACUGAGAGGUUGAUCGGCCACAUUGGGACUGAGACACGGCCCAGACUCCUACGGGAGGCAGCAGUGGGGGAUAUUGCACAAUGGAGGAAACUCUGAUGCAGCGACGCCGCGUGAGGGAAGACGGUUUUCGGAUUGUAAACCUCUGUCUUCAGGGACGAACAAAUGACGGUACCUGAGGAGGAAGCCACGGCUAACUAC